GCAAGUCGAACGGUAAGCUCUCGCUUGCGAGAGACACGAGUGGCGCACGGGUGAGUAACGCGUAUGCAACCUACCAUAAACAGGGAGAUAGCCCAGAGAAAUCUGGAUUAAUACCCCAUAAUAUCAUUUUUACGCAUGUUUAAAUGAUUAAAGCUCCGGCGGUUUAUGAUGGGCAUGCGUGCCAUUAGUUAGUUGGUGAGGUAAUGGCUCACCAAGACAGCGAUGGCUAGGGGGUCUGAGAGGAUGAUC
rnacentral:rRNA from 1 species